GCUGGUCCUUCAGGAGGUGACGGAGAAGCUGCGGAGGGUCAACCAGAGCCUGGAGCUGAUGCUGACGGCCUUGGAAGACGCACAAAUCCGUCUGGAAAAACACCUGGAGCACCUCAGAGCCAUCCCUGAGCUGGAUGGUGAGCGGGAAUGGGGGUGGAGGAUGGGUGGGAGCUGGUGGGUGCCACCACCAGGAUCUUCUUCCCCAUCCCACAGGUCAGAGCCAGAGUUCCACCUCCUCCUGCGUGCCAUACUUGACGCUCCUGGUUCUCCCACUGGUGCCGGCGUCGUUCCAGGCCAUCUUUCUCCUCCUCUUCCUCGCUUCCAGCGCCCUCGGCAUCUCAGCAAUCUCCACUUUCCUGGUCCUUGCUGCAGCAGGUGGGGACAAGUGUGGGGGCAGUGGUUGGGACACACCACCCAGGGGAGAUCUGUCCUCUCCUAUCCUCGUUUUCCCACAGGGCAUUGGCUGCUGGCUUCCGCCUGCCAUGGUGCCGGAAGGAUCCGGCCGGUGGUUCCCCGGGAAGAGCCCCGCUACCGGCUCACCUCCACCCCGGAGAGCUCAGUGUCCCACCCUGGAUUUUCCACCCUGGAGGCAUCUGGCAGAAGUUCUCAGGAAGGGACAGGACACAUCUUGGUGGCUUCCCUAUGA
rnacentral:lncRNA from 1 species